UACGUAGGUGGCGAGCGUUGUCCGGAUUUACUGGGCGUAAAGAGCGCGCAGGCGGUCGUUCAAGUCGCGUGUGAAAGCCCCCGGCUCAACUGGGGAGGGUCACGCGAUACUGAUCGACUCGAAGGCAGGAGAGGGUAGUGGAAUUCCCGGUGUAGUGGUGAAAUGCGUAGAGAUGUGGAGGAACACCAGUGGCGAAGGCGGCGUGCUGGACCACGGCUGACGCUGAGGCGCGAAAGCCAGGGGAGCAAACGGG
rnacentral:rRNA from 1 species